rnacentral:sRNA from 1 species
GGGGAUUGGAAUGGGAAGGGUGGAAGAUCAUUCUCUGUGCUCUUUAAACUGAAUAGAGUCGUAAGAAACAUUUCCCUCCCUGAAGUAAAUUCAUUUAAAAUUUUCUGGGUUCUCCCAGUGCCACAGUAUAGUCGUGUGGAUAUGUCACACAAUGGAGGCCUUGUGGUUUCAUCUGUGUAGACAGGAAGUCAUUUCUCUGGGUCCACAAAUCAGCUGUUGCCUCCAGCAAAACAAAUUUGACCACCAUUUCUCACCCGACACAUGGAGCUAUCAUAGUCAAGAAUGUCCUUAAGUUUAAAAGAAAUGUUCUUGGGGGAUACAUACUAUAUAUAUUCCAGAUUCUAAAGCUAAAACAAAGCAACCAGUCCUAAAGCCUCUGCUUUCUCAGAGCUUUUCUUUCUCCCUUGUCAGGAUCAAACACAUUCCCUGUCAUUCUGCAUCAUGGUAUUAGAGCAAGUGAAUUCUGUCAGAGUAUCAGAUUUUCCUUUUCAGUUGUUUUUAGAGACCGUAAUUUCUCUGGAAAAGAUAGCACUACUGAGAUGAAGGAGCACCUGUGCGUCCGUACUGCCCCUCGCAUAGCCUAAAGUAGGGGUGUGCAUCUCAUUCUACCGUCUAGGAUUUUCAGGUUUUCCUGUGACUGUGACAGUAGAGAGUCCUUCAUCCUCUGAAAUUGAAGAGGUUGAUGAUUCUUCAGAGAGUGUUCAUGAAGUGCCUGAGAAAACUAGUAUAAAACAAGAAGCAUUACAGGAAAAACUGGAGGAGUGCCUAAAGCAGUUAAAGGAAGAAAGAGUGAUAAGGCUUAAGGUUGAUAAACGAGUCAGUGAGCUGGAACAUGAAAAUGCCCAGUUAAGAAAUAUAAAUUUCUCUUUGUCUGAAGCCCUUCAUGCACAGUCAUUGACAAAUA